rnacentral:rRNA from 1 species
UACGGAGGGAGCUAGCGUUGUUCGGAAUUACUGGGCGUAAAGCGCACGUAGGCGGCUUUGUAAGUUAGAGGUGAAAGCCCGGGGCUCAACUCCGGAACUGCCUUUAAGACUGCAUCGCUUGAAUCCGGGAGAGGUGAGUGGAAUUCCGAGUGUAGAGGUGAAAUUCGUAGAUAUUCGGAAGAACACCAGUGGCGAAGGCGGCUCACUGGACCGGUAUUGACGCUGAGGUGCGAAAGCGUGGGGAGCAAACAGGAUUAGAAACCCCCGUAGUCC